rnacentral:rRNA from 1 species
CCUACGGGGGGCUGCAGCUAAGAAUCUUCCGCAAUGGGCGAAAGCCUGACGGAGCGACGCCGCGUGAACGAAGAAGGCCGUGAGGUUGUAAAGUUCUUUUCGGGAGGGGGAACAACCGUGGCAGGGAAUGGCCGCGGGAUGACGUGAAUCCCGGAAUAAGCCCCGGCUAACUACGUGCCAGCAGCCGCGGUAACACGUAGGGGGCGAGCGUUGUUCGGAAUCAUUGGGCGUAAAGGGCGUGCAGGCGGUCCUGCAAGUCCGGCGUGAAAGACCCCGGCCCAACCGGGGGGACGCGCUGGAAACUGCAGGGCUUGAGUACAGGAGGGGAUGCCGGAAUUCCAGGUGUAGGGGUGAAAUCUGUAGAUAUCUGGAAGAACACCAAUGGCGAAGGCAGGCAUCUGGCCAUGUACUGACGCUGAGACGCGAAGGUGCGGGGAGCAAACAGGCUUAGAUACCCCGGUAGUC